GCUCCGCUAGCUCAGUUGGUAGAGCACCGCCCUUUUAAGGCGGGUGUCCCGGGUUCGAGCCCCGGGCGGGGCACCA
rnacentral:tRNA from 1 species